rnacentral:rRNA from 1 species
UGCCAGACUCCUACGGGAGGCAGCAGUGGGGAAUAUUGCACAAUGGGGGGAACCCUGAUGCAGCGACGCCGCGUGGGUGAAGGAGCACCUCGGUGCGUAAAGCCCUGUCAGCAGGGAAGAACAAAGACAGUACCUGACCAAGAAGCCCCGGCUAACUACGUGCCAGCAGCCGCGGUAAUACGUAGGGGGCAAGCGUUAUCCGGAUUCACUGGGCGUAAAGGGAGCGCAGGCGGCACGGCAAGUCUGGUGUGAAAGCCCGGGGCCCAACCCCGGGACUGCAUUGGAAACUGCCGGGCUGGAGUGCCGGAGGGGCAGGCGGAAUUCCUGGUGUAGCGGUGAAAUGCGCAGAUAUCAGGAAGAACACCGGUGGCGCAGGCGGCUUGCUGGACGGCAACUGACGCUGAGGCACGAAAGCGCGGGUAUCGAACAGGAUUAGAUACCCCCGUA